AGUGAACGCUGGCGGUAGGCCUAACACAUGCAAGUCGAACGGCAGCACAGUAAGAGCUUGCUCUUACGGGUGGCGAGUGGCGGACGGGUGAGGAAUACAUCGGAAUCUACUUUUUCGUGGGGGAUAACGUAGGGAAACUUACGCUAAUACCGCAUACGACCUACGGGUGAAAGCAGGGGAUCUUCGGACCUUGCGCGAUUGAAUGAGCCGAUGUCGGAUUAGCUAGUUGGCGGGGUAAAGGCCCACCAAGGCGACGAUCCGUAGCUGGUCUGAGAGGAUGAUCAGCCACACUGGAACUGAGACACGGUACAGACUCCUACGGGAGGCAGCAGUGGGGAAUAUUGGACAAUGGGCGCAAGACUGAUCCAGCCAUACCGCGUGGGUGAAGAAGGCCUUCGGGUUGUAAAGCCCUUUUGUUGGGAAAGAAAAGCAGCAGGUGAAUACCCCGCUGUUCUGACGGUACCCAAAGAAUAAGCACCGGCUAACUUCGUG
rnacentral:rRNA from 1 species